rnacentral:piRNA from 1 species
UGAGACUUUAUUACACCUUGGCCUA